rnacentral:rRNA from 1 species
GUUGAACGCUGGCGGCAGGCCUAACACAUGCAAGUCGAACGGUAACAGGGAUCAGCUUGCUGAUUCGCUGACGAGUGGCGGACGGGUGAGUCAUGUCUGGGAAACUGCCUGAUGUAGGGGGAUAACUACUGGAAACGGUAGCUACUACCGCAUAACGUCGCCAGCCCAAAGAGGGGGACCUUCGGGCCUCUUGCCAUCGUAUGUGCCCAGAUGGUCGUAGCUAGUAGGUGGGGUAACGGCUCCCCUAGGCGACGAUCCCUAGCUGGUGUGAGAGGAUGAGCGGCCACACUGGAACUUAGACACGGACCAGACGCCUACGGGAGGCAGCAGUGUGGAAUAUUGCACAAUGGGGGCAAGCCUGAUGCAGCCAUGCCGCGUGUAUGAAGAAGGCCUUCGGGUUGUAAAGUACUUUCAGCGGGGAGGAAGGGAUUAAAGUUAAUACCUAGGCUCAUUGACGUUAACCGCAGAAGAAGCACCGGCUAACUACGUG